rnacentral:lncRNA from 1 species
CUUUGAUAAACAUGACAAUACGCAGCAAUAAUGAAGUUACCUCCCUCUCUCAGAACAUCUCUCUUUCUCCAAGCGGUUCAGCGGAGGGUCGGUGCUACAGACACCGCUGUACUGGGCUCAACCAGUACCAGGUCCAGGUGUUUGACUCUCACUGGAUGGACUGUCCAGCCGGCACCUCCAUACAGGUACCACGCAGGGGUCGCGUCGGUUCGCUUCUUCUGUGCUCUCGAGUACUGGGCCACACCUGCUACCUGCUUGUGUGUGUGUGUGUGUUGAACCAUCUUUUUCUGUACCGCAGGUGUUGGGGUACACCGGGUCCAUCCUCUGUCCUCAUGAGACACUAUGUCACCAUUCACAUGUCACCGCUCCCACAAGCUAUGAGGCUCUUCCACCUCCUGGUCCUCCCACCAGUGGUGGCUCCUCCUCUCAGAGAGGGGGGUCUUUGGCCCCUGGGUUUUACUCCGAUUCCCCCCCGACUUUCACGGUGCCAGAGAGCAGCGUCGAACUCCCUCUAAUCACAGCCCUGGGGGGUGCGGCAGCGCUGUGUCUCACAGGCGCUCUAACGGCUGUUCUGUACCUGGCCUGUAGGGGGCACUACGCCCUCGGAGUCAGGGUGCAUGCUGUCACGGACAUGGAGACGGCUUGAGCGCUGUCCCUGCUGUCCAUUCAUAAUCCAUCAUAUCUCUGCACAAAUAAAGUUCUAGUAAAAUGUCA